rnacentral:rRNA from 1 species
GCACAAUCAACUCGCCUUCACAUGCAUGUCGAACGGUUACAGGUCUUCGGAUGCUGACGAGUGGCGGACGGCCUGAGUAAUGCGUAGGAAUCUGUCUUUUAGUGGGGGACAACCCAGGGAAACUUGGGCUAAUACCGCAUGAGCCCUGAGGGGGAAAGCGGGGGAUCUUCGGACCUCGCGCUAAGAGAGGAGCCUACGUCCGAUUAGCUAGUUGGCGGGGUAAAGGCCCACCAAGGCGACGAUCGGUAGCUGGUCUGAGAGGACGACCAGCCACACUGGGACUGAGACACGGCCCAGACUCCUACGGGAGGCAGCAGUGGGGAAUUUUUCGCAAUGGGGGCAACCCUGACGAAGCAAUGCCGCGUGGAUGAAGAAGGCCUUCGGGUUGUAAAGUCCUUUCGUGGAGGACGAAAAGGCGGGUUCUAAUACAAUCUGCUGUUGACGUGAAUCCAAGAAGAAGCACCGGCUAACUCCGUGCCAGCAGCCGCGGUAAUACGGGGGGUGCAAGCGUUAAUCGGAAUCACUGGGCGUAAAGGGUGCGUAGGCGGUACGUUAGGUCUGUCGUGAAAUCCCCGGGCUCAACCUGGGAAUGGCGGUGGAAAUCGGCGCACUAGAGUAUUGGAGAGGGUG